GACGAACGCUGGCGGCGUGCCUAAUACAUGCAAGUAGAACGCUGAAGGAGGGGCUUGCUCUUCUGGAUGAGUUGCGAACGGGUGAGUAACGCGUAGGUAACCUGCCUGGUAGCGGGGGAUAACUAUUGGAAACGAUAGCUAAUACCGCAUAAGAGUAGAUGUUGCAUGACAUUUACUUAAAAGGUGCAAUUGCAUCACUACCAGAUGGACCUGCGUUGUAUUAGCUAGUUGGUGGGGUAACGGCUUACCAAGGCGACGAUACAUAGCCGACCUGAGAGGGGGAUCGGCCACACUGGGACUGAGACACGGCCCAGACUCCUACGGGAGGCAGCAGUAGGGAAUCUUCGGCAAUGGACGGAAGUCUGACCGAGCAACGCCGCGUGAGUGAAGAAGGUUUUCGGAUCGUAAAGCUCUGUUGUAAGAGAAGAACGAGUGUGAGAGUGGAAAGUUCACACUGUGACGGUAUCUUACCAGAAAGGGACGGCUAACUACGUG
rnacentral:rRNA from 1 species